rnacentral:rRNA from 1 species
UGGGGAAUUUUGCACAAUGGAGGAAACUCUGAUGCAGCGACGCCGCGUGAGUGAUGAAGAUCUUCGGAUUGUAAAACUCUGUCCUUAGUGAAGAUAAUGACAGUAACUAAGAAGCAAGCCCUGGCUAAAUACGUGCCAGCAGUCGCGGUAAUACGUAUGGGGCAAGCGUUGUCCGGAAUUAUUGGGCGUAAAGGGUACGUAGGCGGUUUAAUAAGUCCUAAUUAAAAGGCUAUGGCUCAACCAUAGUAUGGUUAGGAAACUGUUGAACUUGAGUAGAUGAGGGGAAAGUGGAAUUCCAUGUGUAGCGGUGAAAUGCGUAGAUAUAUGGAGGAACACCAAUGGCGAAGGCAACUUUCUGGAAUCAAACUGACGCUGAGGUACGAAGGCGUGGGGAGCAAACAGG